rnacentral:rRNA from 1 species
CUACCCUUGACAUGUCUGGAAUUGCGCAGAGAUGUGCAAGUGCCCGAAAGGGAGCCAGAACACAGGUGCUGCAUGGCUGUCGUCAGCUCGUGUCGUGAGAUGUUGGGUUAAGUCCCGCAACGAGCGCAACCCUUGCCAUUAGUUGCUACGAAAGGGCACUCUAAUGGGACUGCCGGUGACAAACCGGAGGAAGGUGGGGAUGACGUCAAGUCCUCAUGGCCCUUAUGGGUAGGGCUACACACGUCAUACAAUGGCUGGUACAGAGGGUUGCCAACCCGCGAGGGGGAGCUAAUCCCAUAAAACCAGUCGUAGUCCGGAUCGUAGUCUGCAACUCGACUGCGUGAAGUCGGAAUCGCUAGUAAUCGCGGAUCAGCAUGUCGCGGUGAAUACGUUCCCGGGUCUUGUACACACCGCCCGUCACACCAUGGGAGCGGGUUCUGCCAGAAGUAGUUAGCCUAACCGCAAGGAGGGCGAUUACCACGGCAGGGUUCGUGACUGGGGUG